AUGGAACAGGGUGACAGGAGAGAAAGAAGAGGGGUGACACAGAGACUGAGAGGGACCAAGAUGCAGAGAGGCAGAAAUAUCAGGCAGAGACAGGGUAGAGAGACAGAGAUGGAGAGAGAUAGAGACAGGGAGGAGGAGGAGAAAAGAAGGUGGAGGAAGGAGAUAGGAAAGGGACCAAGACAGCAGGAAGCAGACAGAAAAGAGAAAUUAGAAAGAGAUAGUGAAAUAGAGAGAGACCGACUGAGACAGGACGGGGAAAACAGCCGGAGAGAGGGGCAGAGGACAGGGACCAAGGAGUCGCCAGGAUGGAGGGCGGUGGGGCAGAGCCUGGGACGGGCACGGGACCGGAUGGGCAGGAGGUGGCGGAGUCGCGACGCCCCGCUCUCUCGCUCCGGGGGCCCCGCGGCCGCACUCACCUGCCUGGCGUGGCCCGCUGCCCCCGGCGUCUCCACGGCGCUGCCUUUGCUCUGCCCGCCUCCCUGGCGGCCCUGGCCUCGGCUGGGUCCCCGCGGUGCGCUCCCGCCGCCCUGCGCUCCUCUGGCCGCUGUGCGCUCACUCGCCGCGUUGCUUGCGGGGGGCCGCGGGGCGGGACCCGAGCCGGACAGGGCGGGCGGGGCGCAUGGGGAGAGGCCCCUGUGGGCUCUGCCGCUCUCAGCCACCCAACAGGUGUCUCCCACCUUCCUUCCAGCCAGCUUCGGGGGCAGGGGGCGCUGGAGAGCUGCAGGGGAAUCGUGCGAAAGUGAGGGCUCCACCGCCACCGGACUCUGGACCAGAGCCCCGCCCAGCCUCACAAGUCGUGCCCCGACACCCACACUCAGCACUGGGCUUCCACACACAAACAGCCGCGUCCACACACCAACGCACCUUGUCACAAGUUCAGGCGCACAGCUGCCCAGUCUCACAUGUUCGGUGACAUGGUCACCACAGUGCCAACGGCCUGGGCAGGCUGCGAUCAGGAGGGGAAUCCCUCUGCAAGAUGCUUGGGAGUGCGUGGAGGGUCUGGUCAGAAUAGAAGCUUCUCCCCUUGCCUUGACCACCCCUGCCCUGCCCACGCGCUGUCCCCAACUGCAGCAUGCUGCGGUUUGCACACAUGCAUGCACACGGUGGUGGACCCACAAGGAUGCACUUACACACACUCAGAGGUCUUUAAGCUGA
rnacentral:lncRNA from 1 species